rnacentral:rRNA from 1 species
GACGAACGCUGGCGGCGUGCUUAACACAUGCAAGUCGAACGAAGAGCGAUGGAAGCUUGCUUCUAUCAAUCUUAGUGGCGAACGGGUGAGUAACGCGUAAUCAACCUGCCCUUCAGAGGGGGACAACAGUUGGAAACGACUGCUAAUACCGCAUACGAUCUAAUCUCGGCAUCGAGGAUAGAUGAAAGGUGGCCUCUACAUGUAAGCUAUCACUGAAGGUGGGGAUUGCGUCUGAUUAGCUAGUUGGAGGGGUAACGGCCCACCAAGGCGAUGAUCAGUAGCCGGUCUGAGAGGAUGGACGGCCACAUUGGGACUGAGACACGGCCCAGACUCCUACGGGAGGCAGCAGUGGGGAAUCUUCCGCAAUGGACGAAAGUCUGACGGAGCAACGCCGCGUGAGUGAUGACGGCCUUCGGGUUGGAAAGCUCUGUUAAUCGGGACGAAAGGCCUUCUUGCGAAUAGUGAGAAGGAUUGACGGUACCGGAAUAGAAAGCCACGGCUAACUACGUG